UAGUUGAUGAUGAUGAAACCACUAUGCAGUGUGAAUUCUGGGAACCAGGUGAUAGAGUGUGUUCUGAGAAGAAACUGAUGCAG
ensembl:snoRNA